rnacentral:tRNA from 1 species
UCCUGUAUGGCUCAGUUGGUAAAGCAUCUGCCUGCAGUGCAGGAAAAUUGGGUUCAAAUUCCCUUGGAGAAG